ACUCCAGUCAACAGAUGGCGAUAUGCGUUUUUUAGGCGAUGCUAUCAGAGUGACGUAUAAUGUAGUGGACGGGACGCUUCUUCAACAACAUCUCGUCAGCCACCUCGGUAGCUUCCUAGUGGAAACGUUCAAGCAGUUCAGACUGCUUCGGUCUAUAUUUACUUCUGUAUUUGGAAUAUAAUUCUGUCUUUUAACUAGUUUCCCCAUUUCAUGUCAUAUUUCCGUUUAGUCAGGUAACGGUAGCUGGCUUGAUAAAUGAGCCUAUCACUCGGCUAGUCGCUAACUAGCUAGGUUAGCUGGCUAACAUCCCCGACCAUGAGCUCAGCAAGCUGCUGCCCUCCUGCUAAAAAAGAGGUCUGCUGGAAGGAGAAAGAAGGUAUUUGGCUGAACGUUGUCGUGAAAGAAGAGAAUGAAGAGGAGGAUGUCACAGUAAACGAAGAAGUCGAGGGUGAGGCUGUUACACAGAAAGAAGAGGAAGAAAACGAUUAUACUUUUUUUGGAGUGAAUGAAGGAGAGAUAACUGUCAUAUUGAAGGAGGAGGAGAGGGAAGAAGAGAAGGAGACAGAAGAUCUGAGUAACACCAGAGAGAGACCAGACUCUCCUUCUGACAGCGGGAAGAGUCCUUCAGGGAAACCAGACCCCGAGACGUCCAAACCAGCAGGACGACAUCACUGCUCCCAGUGUGGGAAGAGUUUUACUCAGUUAGGGAGCUUGAGAACACAUAAGAGAAUACACACUGGAGAGAAGCCUUACCACUGUUCCCAAUGUGGAAUGUCGUUUACCCAGUUAGGGAGCCUGCAAACGCAUGAGAGGGGACACACAGGGGAAAAGCUUUUCCAAUGUUCCCAUUGUGGAAAGAGUUUUGGCCAGGUAGGAAACCUGAACAAGCAUGAGAGGACACACACAGGUAAGAAGAUGUACCGCUGCUCCCAGUGUGGAGAGAGAUUUACCCGGUUAAGGUACCUGAAAGAGCAUGAAAGAAUACAUACAAAUACACAGGAGGAGAAGACAUACCACUGCUCUCAUUGUGGAAAGACAUUUUCCCAGUCAGAGAACCUGAAAACACAUGAGAGAAUCGAGAGGCUGUGUUCUGACUUGUGUUUCUGACUGAGAAUGUGUGUGUUUGUUUGUGCUGUCAGACUUGAGUUCACUCUGUAUAAUGUUAGUGCACUAUUUUUAAUUGUGAUUAAUCCAUUGUCUGAAAGGGUUGAAAACACACUGAAAACAUCCAAAAUACAUACUAUAUACAGCUAAAAUCUACAAUGCCAUGUAAACACAAGAUGACAUUGAGGUUAAAUAAAGUGUGCUUUAUCAAUGGAACAUA